UACGGGGGGGGCAAGCGUUGUUCGGAUUCAUUGGGCGUAAAGGGUGCGUAGGCGGCGCGGUAAGUCGGGUGUGAAAUCUCGGAGCUUAACUCCGAAACUGCAUUCGAUACUGCCGUGCUUGAGGACUGGAGAGGAGACUGGAAUUUACGGUGUAGCGGUGAAAUGCGUAGAUAUCGUAAGGAAGAUCAGUGGCGAAGGCGGGUCUCUGGACAGUUCCUGACGCUGAGGCACGAAGGUCAGGGGAGCAAACGGG
rnacentral:rRNA from 1 species